rnacentral:lncRNA from 1 species
AAACUUUUAAGCAAGAUGUCCAGUAAGAGAUGCUGACAGCAAGCAUUCCAUCGAUCAAAGACCCAUGCUUCAUGCUUGGGAAGUCUCUCCUUUCUUUCUCUUACCUAGAAAUGGAAAAAGACUUCAAACAAGUAGCUCGUGGAACAUCCCCCACUUGCCCUUUUUUCUCAAUCUUAUAUCUCGGACUACGUCAUGAUCGGGCAGCCACGCAAUGUAUUUCACUCCUAGCGGUAGGAAGAGAGGUUCAGCGCAACAUGUACACAGGCGCUAAAGCCCUUGUUUCGACCUCAACCUGAUAUUUUUAUUUGAUAAGCACUGGAAGAGAUCUAAAAGCAAACAUUCCAUUGAUUGAGCACCCAUUCCUGUGUUUUAUGAUGAUCCAACCUGGCUAUUUCAAUGCAUCAUGGGAUUUCCUUGGGGAUACAAAGAUUCACAUAAAUAAUAAGUAGACUUUAAUGGCCUAGUACGACCAGACAGAAGCAGAAUCAUAGUCUUCCUCCAGGGCCCCUCUCAUGGAACACCUAAAGAAUUUUCUUUGUUUUCGGAUAGGUCAUGAAAGGAGAAGGAAGGUUGGGCAUCUAUUAUGGAAUUAAUUCGACCCGAGAGUAGAGUACCCCUUUUUUGGAAUGUCGAGUGCGAACGUCAUUGAAUUGGUAAGUCGUCAAUCCCCUUAAUAGAAUAAGGAGUGUACUUUAUCCGUUGGUUUACGGAGGGGGAGAGGUUUCUAUUGUAUCCCUGUGUGAUUCCUAUUGAAUCAUA